UUCCAAUAUCAAUACCUCAACUUACGCCUUCCCUUAUAUAGACAAUUUUAAGCUGUGUUUCUUAAAUGCAUUAUCAGGUAGCUAAAGAAAGUGCUGAUGUUAUAGUACUUGAUGACAACUUCAGUACAAUUGUGAAUGUGGCUAAGCGGGGUCGUGCUGUGUAUGUAAAUAUUCAGAAGUUUGUGCAAUUCCAGCUAACUGUCAGUAUUGUGGCUCUGAUGAUCAAUUUUAUUUCCGCAUGCAUCUCAGCAGGAUCGGCUCCUCUUUCAGUGGUUCAGUUGCUUUGGGUCAACCUUAUCAUGGACACUUUAGGUGCAAUUGCCUUGGCCACUGAACCACCUCAUGAAGGACUAAUGAGCAAGCCUCCUGUUGGAAGGGAAGUGAGUUUAAUUUCCAAGACGAUGUGGAGAAAUAUGAUUGGACAGAGUAUCUACCAACUGGCUGUACUAUUGGUUUUCAACUUCACUGGACAUCAGAUUUUGAGAAUUGAAGGUUCAGACACUACCACAGUUCUCCAUACUUUCAUUUUCAACACAUUUGUGUUCUGUCAGGUAUUUAAUGAAAUAAACUGCCGGGACAUGGAUAAGAUAAAUGUUUUCCGUGGCAUUUUUGGAAGCUGGAUAUUCUUAGGUGUUGUGGUUUCUACUGUUAUCUUCCAAGUAAUCAUAGUCGAGUUCUUAGGCACAAUUGCAAGCACAACACCACUCAGCUGGGAACUAUGGCUUCUCAGUGUUUUAAUUGGUGCUGCAAGCCUGAUGGUUGCUGUAAUUUUGAAGUUGAUACCUGUCGAACAGAAGAAUACCAAGCACCAUGAUGGUUAUGAUUUACUGCCAAAUGGUCCAGAACUUGCCUAAGAAAAGGGGAGAGCCAAUGGAUAAUAGAAAGCCAUGCGAUAUGAGAAAGUUUAAUUGGUCCAAGUUCGAAUGAUACAAUACCUGGUUUUCAGGUGAGGAAAGGAAAACAACACCAAUGGAAAGAAAAUACAGACAAAAGAUUUCAACAGCUCAUACACCAAUAAACCUCCAAGAACCAGUUCAAAGUAUCAGAGCAUUAGUGAGAAAAGAUCGAUGUGCGUCAUUCCCGCGACAUCCAGGAAGACAUAACUCAAUCACCGUGCAAUUUUCCGGUGACCUAAGUGACUGAUUUGUCACGUUUGGUGAGUGUUGUGCACAAACAAAUACCACCAUUGGACUCAGAAACCUCCGACGACUAAACCCCAAAAAGAUUCUCCGGAAACAGAUGCCCCACGCGCCACCCAGAUCUGACAUUCCGCCGACGCGUUUGUCCCACGCACCGGUGCGUGAGUGCAUCUCCAGCUAUAUUUUGGUCAAGCUUCUUCAGGACAACCUGGUCGCACAAUAAUUCCAAGUCUACCAGUACUAUUUCCGACAAAUUCCGACAACUUUGGAAUUUUCCGGCGAGCUACAGUAUUUUCCGACGUAAAAUAGUGUUAUGUUUUUAUGCUGUGAACAGUGUUUUCCCAAAUAUUUCUUCAGUUUUCCUGCAGGAGUUACUGAUUUCCACUAUUUCAAGUUAAUCGUACUACUUUUAGUCAUGAUUUUGAGAAAUAAAUUGUAGCGAAAUGGGAUCCAAUAGUAUGAAUGGUUGGAUUUCUCUACUGGAUUAUAUUGAGUUUCUUCAGUAUAAAGCAUGUAAACAGACAUCUUCAGGGAUAGCUUCCGUUGUUCAAACAGAUAGUAGCGUUACUUAUGUCUCCCAAUCUUCAACCUCUAAGUCUUGGGUCAUUGCUUCAGGUGCAUCUGAUCAUAUUUCUGGUAACAACUCUCUUUUCACUGCUAUUUCAUGUUCUCAAUCUCUCCCAACAGUCAUAAUGGUCAACGAGUCUCAAACCACGGCAACCGGAAUAGGACAA